rnacentral:rRNA from 1 species
CCCAGACUCCUACGGGAGGCAGCAGUGGGGGAUAUUGCACAAUGGGGGGAACCCUGAUGCAGCGACGCCGCGUGGGCGAGGGAGCGCCUCGGCGCGUAAAGCCCUUUCGGCGGGGGAGAACGAUGACGGUACCCGACGAAGAAGCACCGGCUAAAUACGUGCCAGCAGCCGCGGUAAUACGUAUGGUGCGAGCGUUAUCCGGAUUUAUUGGGUUUAAAGGGUGCGCAGGCGGCGUGUCAAGUCAGCGGUAAAAUGUCGGGGCUCAACCCCGGCCGGCCGUUGAAACUGGCGUGCUCGAGUUGGAGAGAAGUAUGCGGAAUUCGUGGUGUAGCGGUGAAAUGCAUAGAUAUCACGAAGAACCCCGAUUGCGAAGGCAGCAUACCGGCUCCACACUGACGCUGAGGCUCGAAAGCGUGGGUAUCGAACAGGAUUAGAUACCCCGGUA